rnacentral:rRNA from 1 species
UUUGGGUGGUAAAUUCCUUUCGCAUUCGAGGAAGCCACUUGUGGUGACGGUAGGUAGAUAAGAAGCACCGGCUAACUACGUGCCAGCAGCCGCGGUAAUACGUAGGGUGCAAGCGUUGUCCGGAAUUACUGGGCGUAAAGAGCUCGUAGGUGGUUUGUCGCGUCGUCUGUGAAAUCCCGGGGCUUAACUUCGGGCGUGCAGGCGAUACGGGCAUAACUUGAGUGCUGUAGGGGAGACUGGAAUUCCUGGUGUAGCGGUGAAAUGCGCAGAUAUCAGGAGGAACACCGAUGGCGAAGGCAGGUCUCUGGGCAGUUACUGACGCUGAGGAGCGAAAGCAUGGGUAGCGAACAGGAUUAGAUACCCUGGUAGUCCAUGCCGUAAACGGUGGGCGCUAGGUGUAGGGGGCUUCCACGUCUUCUGUGCCGUAGCUAACGCAUAAGCGCCCCGCCU